rnacentral:rRNA from 1 species
ACUUUGAAGAGAGAGUUCAAAAGGGCGUGAAACCGCUUAGAAUAAAACGGACGGAGCCGUCAGUGGCCCUCUGGAAUCAGUCGUAUUGACGCGCGAUAAUGCGUUUCGUUAGAGCGAAAAGUCUAGCGGGCGUAUUAGGAAUUAGUAGCGUUCAUUCGAUGCAUUUCUGGAGGGUUUGCGCCACGACCGAUGCGAAAGGCUAGUGAAUCCAGUGAAUUGAGGUGGAAGCCCUUCGGGGUAUUCAUUACCAGUUCGCAGGCAUAUAGCCGCUAGACCGCAGUAUGCAUCGAGCGCGGAAUUAAAGAUUUGGAACACUGGCAAAAGUGCUCGUUUAAGCGAUGGAUUAUCGGCGGAAUAGGCUGUACCUGCUCGCAGGUUAUGUCGGUUCCUGUCGGUUUUUGAAAUCGCAGGCGAGUUUAUAGUGUUCCGGCGUCAGUGGCGUCCGAGACGGUCAACCGUCCGACCCGUCUUGAAACACGGACCAAGGAGUCUAACGUACGCGCGAGCUAAUGAGUGGAAAACUCAUAAGCGCAAUAAAAGUAAAAGCCAUUUCUGAUGGCGAGGGGUACGAUCCCUUGGUUUUCGAAUCAGGGGCGCAGUACCAUCCCAUUCUGACCGCAUGUCGGUAGGGUGGAGAUUGAGUGCGUACGUUGGGACCCGAAAGAUGGUGAACUAUGCCUGAGCAGAGCGAAGCCAGAGGAAACUCUGGUGGAGGUUCGUAGCGGUUCUGACGUGCAAAUCGAUCGUCAGACUUGGGUAUAGGGGCGAAA